AAACCUCCUUCUCACUGCCUACUCCCACUUUUUACUUUAAUCAUACUUAGAAAACCUGCAUGCUCUAGGUUGUAGCAAUUAUGUCUUUCUCCCCACAUUGUAGACAGACAUGAGUUCUUCCACACUUAGACAUUUUUAUGGUUGCUGGUCUAUAGGACCUGACCCAUCCCUAGGCACUCUCAUUACUAACGCAUGAACUGAAUAAGACACUGCCAAAGGAGCACAUUUUCAGGGCAUUCUGGCCCAAAAGUGGUUUAUGUGAGCCAACAGUAGGUGCUCUGAGGUUUCUGCUCUCAGAGCAGUAAGAGCUUUAAAAACCCAUAACGAGCUAGGGUGGAGUCCAGCCUUAAUUAUGCUUUGUAGGAUUCUUUUUUUCCUUUCAAAGUACAUGAGACAGCCACAUCAUUUAUUAAAACUACAAUGUUACAUGACCCUCUAUUAGCUAUCCUUACCACUCAGGACAUAGAUAAUAAUUUGAAAACUGGUUAUAGGCUUUUUACUACCUUUAGUUCCUACACAAGGCUUAUUGUCUGGCCCCUGGGAACUCCUGGGCCAAGGCCGAUACCAACUUCGCAGGUCACAGCUACUGAGUUUUGUCCUCUGCAGUAUAGCUAGAACUGGACCUACUUCAAACUUUCUGAAUCCUAAAUAAGAUUAUAGGUUUGAAUAGAGAAAGAGAGUAAGCAAGGUAUUCAGGCAGUAUGGGGCAAGGAUAACACUCUAAGCUAGAUGCUAUAUUGUUAAGCUCUCAGUCCUUGCAAGAUAUAUCCAUAAAAUUGGUCUCCUUUUAGAAUCACAUUGUCUUAGACAUCUGCUUAUUGAUCUGUAUUAAGUACUGACUGCAUUAAAUGUAGAAUAAAGAAGGAAGUUCCCCAUGUUCCAUGGAUAGGCAAGCUAGGGUGGCUGCUCACACUCUCAAGUCUCAUCAACACACAGAAGUAAGCCUCCAAGAUUUGUCUGCUGUUUGAGAACUCUGAACAAGCCAAUGGAGUCACUGGAAUCCAGAUGACCUGGCCUAACCUACCUCUUCACUUAAGAAUAGGGCAAUCUCAAACACCUUGUUGUUGUUUUGGCUGUGUUCCAAAGACAUGAAAUGGGGGUAUGCAUUUCCUAUGACACUUCAGAGCUGCCCAUGUGUCAGGAAGGAACACUUAUUUCCUGUCCCCAUACUCUUGCACACCAGCCCCAUGUCACAGUCUCUGAUGUGAGCUCACGGUAAGACAUAUAAGUCAAAGUGACCCACCGUGUAGCCUGAGCCAGUGCAGGCCUGUGAGAGAGGAAAGACCAGACUCUUCAAGCCGUAAGCAAUGGGGACAACCUGGGGUCUCAGAAACAUGGCCCGUGUCCUUUAAGUUUCUGGGUAUAAGGCUGUAGGAACCUAUGUCCUUGGUGCCAAGGUGUCAUGUUUAUAGCAGGACUUUUCACAACAGUUCUUGGGAGGAAAAAGACAAUACUCAGAAAACUUUUGAGGCAACAAAUUUACCCAAUUAAUAUUCAAGUCAACACUAAUAACAAGAAGUGUAUUAGUUCUUUUAAACCAGAUUCAUUAUGGUUUUCAAAUGGAAAUGUACCUCCCAUUUUGUACUAGUAGGUCAGGAAAUAACUUAGUUUGUGCCUGGUAUUUAAAAAAAUAAACAAGGGCUGGAGAGAUGGCUCAAUGGUUAAG
rnacentral:lncRNA from 1 species